GUGUCAGCCGCCGCGGUAAUACGGAGGGUGCGAGCGUUGUCCGGAAUCACUGGGCGUAAAGGGCGCGUAGGUGGCGCGGCAAGUCGGUGGUGAAAGCCCGGGGCUCAACCCCGGGUCGGCCAACGAUACUGCCGGGCUCGAGCAUCGUAGAGGCAGGUGGAAUUCCGGGUGUAGCGGUGGAAUGCGUAGAGAUCCGGAAGAACACCGGUGGCGAAGGCGGCCUGCUGGGCGAUGGCUGACACUGAGGCGCGACAGCGUGGGGAGCAAACAGGAUUAGAAACCCUUGUAGUCC
rnacentral:rRNA from 1 species